rnacentral:lncRNA from 1 species
CCGCCGCGGCCUCCGCCUCCGCCUGCCGUCGCCGACUGACCCGCGCUCCGCCUUCCCUUGGUUAGCCGCACUCGGCUGCUGUCGGCGCCCUGCCGCUAGAGCUCCCUGUCGGCCGAACUAAGACCGUGUUCUCCACGAGUUCGUGCGGCUAGGGCAUCAGUGCCCGUCGCCGCCGCCGCUUUCUGUCACCGGCCAUCGCGUGCCCCGACCUCUCCCUGCCAGCUGCAUCCAUCUCCUGCCGGCGCGCCUACCGUCCGGCCUCCGCUGGCCAACCAUGCCCCACCUU